rnacentral:tRNA from 1 species
AAGGAUUUAAGUUAAACCAUAAACUAUUAGCCUUCAAAGUUAAAAUUAGACUGAUAAUCUAAGCCUUA